rnacentral:rRNA from 1 species
AUGAACGCUGGCGGCGUGCCUAAUACAUGCAAGUCGAGCGAACGGACGAGAAGCUUGCUUCUCUGAUGUUAGCGGCGGACGGGUGAGUAACACGUGGAUAACCUACCUAUAAGACUGGGAUAACUUCGGGAAACCGGAGCUAAUACCGGAUGAUAUUUUGAACCGCAUGGUUCAAAAGUGAAAGACGGUCUUGCUGUCACUUAUAGAUGGAUCCGCGCUGCAUUAGCUAGUUGGUAAGGUAACGGCUUACCAAGGAAACGAUGCAUAGCCGACCUGAGAGGGUGAUCGGCCACACUGGAACUGAGACACGGUCCAGACUCCUACGGGAGGCAGCAGUAGGGAAUCUUCCGCAAUGGGCGAAAGCCCGACGGAGCAACGCCGCGUGAGUGAUGAAGGUCUUCGGAUCGUAAAACUCUGUUAUUAGGGAAGAACAUAUGUGUAAGUAACUGUGCACAUCUUGACGGUACCUAAUCAGAAAGCCACGGCUAACUACGUG